AUUUAAGCAUAUUAAUAAGCGGAGGAAAAGAAACUAACCAGGAUUGGUCCAGUAACGGCGAGUGAAGCGCCAAAAGUCCAGGCUGUGAAUCGACACUUGUGUUGAAUUGUGGAAUGCCGUUCGGUUUGUUCAAGUUGUGGAUGAAGUCCUCUGGAAUGGGGCAGCAGAGAGGGUGAUACUCCCGUCCGUCUGCAACUGUGAAAGCUGAUCCAAGAGUCGAGUUGUUUGGGAUUGCAGCUCUAAGUGGGUGGUAAAUUCCAUCCAAGACUAAAUACUGGUGGGAGACCGAUAGCGAACAAGUACCGUGAGGGAAAGAUGCAAAGCCGCGCGAGAGCGCUGUCAAAGAGUACCUGAAAUUGCUGAAAAGGAAGCGAAGGAAACCAGUGUGAGCCAACCUGCACUUCCCCCAAUGCUUGCGUUUGGGGCGCUGCGGCUGGCGUUGUUCGUUUUGUCGUGUAGCUCGGGAAGAUGAUGGCCGUGCUGCRUGAUGAAUGGGACGAAAUGGUUUUCUUUUUCCCGUCUUGAAACAC
rnacentral:rRNA from 1 species